ACGAAGGGUGCAAGCGUUACUCGGAAUUACUGGGCGUAAAGCGUGCGUAGGUGGUUCGUUAAGUCUGAUGUGAAAUCCCCGGGCUCAACCUGGGAACUGCAUCCGAGACUGCAUUGCUAGAGUAUGGGAGAGGGAAGCGGAAUUUCUGGUGUAGCAGUGAAAUGCGUAGAUAUCAGAAGGAACAUCAGUGGCGAAGGCGGCUUCCUGGACCAAUACUGACGAUCAGGUGCGAAAGCGUGGGGAGCAAACAGGA
rnacentral:rRNA from 1 species